rnacentral:pre_miRNA from 1 species
AUCACCUAGGAAUCUUAUUAAAAUACAGAUUCUGAUUUAAUAGGUCUGGGAUGGGGCCUAAGAGUUUGCGUUUCUAACAAGCUCCCAAGUGAUGCUGG